GCGCGAGUGGCUCAGGGGUAGAGCAUCGCCUUGCCAAGGCGAGGGUCGCGGGUUCGAAUCCCGUCUCGCGCU
rnacentral:tRNA from 1 species